AGGGCACCACCAGGAGUGGAGCCUGCGGCUUAAUUUGACUCAACACGGGAAAACUCACCCGGCCCGGACACUGGAAGGAUUGACAGAUUGAGAGCUCUUUCUUGAUUCAGUGGGUGGUGGUGCAUGGCCGUUCUUAGUUGGUGGAGCGAUUUGUCUGGUUAAUUCCGAUAACGAACGAGACUCUAGCCUACUAAAUAGAUCGUCGGCUUACAAACGCUGAUGAGACUUCUUAGAGGGACAGGCGGCGAUUCAGCCGCACGAAACAGAGCAAUAACAGGUCUGUGAUGCCCUUAGAUGUCCGGGGCCGCACGCGCGCUACACUGAAGGGAUCAGCGUGCUUUUUCCAUUGACUCUGGGAAUAGUGGAACACUUGAUGAACCUUCUUGAUGAUUGUCAUAGGUUAUUGCUAUUAUUCUUGUUGAACGAAGAAUUCCCAAGUGUGACGAGUCAUCUCCUCGUGAUGACUACGUUGCUGUUCGUUGUACCGCCGGCCGCUGCUACUACCUGAUGAAUGUUGGG
rnacentral:rRNA from 1 species